rnacentral:rRNA from 1 species
AGAACGAACGCUGGCGGCAGGCUUAACACAUGCAAGUCGAGCGGGUAGCAAUACCAGCGGCAGACGGGUGAGUAACACGUGGGAACCUUCCUAGAGGUACGGAACAACGCAGGGAAACUUGCGCUAAUACCGUAUGUGCUCUUGCGAGGAAAGAUUUAUCGCCUUUAGACGGGCCCGCGUCGGAUUAGCUAGUUGGUGGGGUAAUGGCCUACCAAGGCAACGAUCCGUAGCUGAUCUGAGAGGAUGAUCAGCCACACUGGAACUGAGACACGGUCCAGACUCCUACGGGAGGCAGCAGUGGGGAAUCUUGGACAAUGGGCGCAAGCCUGAUCCAGCCAUGCCGCGUGAGUGAAGAAGGCCUUCGGGUUGUAAAGCUCUUUUGUCAGGGACGAUAAUGACGGUACCUGAAGAAUAAGCCCCGGCAAACUUCGUAGCCAGCAGCCGC